AACGAACGCUGGCGGCAGGCUUAACACAUGCAAGUCGAGCGAGACCUUCGGGUCUAGCGGCGGACGGGUGAGUAACGCGUGGGAACGUGCCCUUCUCUACGGAAUAGCCCCGGGAAACUGGGAGUAAUACCGUAUACGCCCUUUGGGGGAAAGAUUUAUCGGAGAAGGAUCGGCCCGCGUUGGAUUAGGUAGUUGGUGGGGUAAUGGCCCACCAAGCCGACGAUCCAUAGCUGGUUUGAGAGGAUGAUCAGCCACACUGGGACUGAGACACGGCCCAGACUCCUACGGGAAGCAGCAGUGGGGAAUCGUAGACAAUGGGGGCAACCCUGAUCUAGCCAUGCCGCGUGAGUGAUGAAGGCCUUAGGGUUGUAAAGCUCUUUCAGCUGGGAAGAUAAUGACGGUACCAGCAGAAGAAGCCCCGGCUAACUCCGUG
rnacentral:rRNA from 1 species